UACGGAGGGUGCAAGCGUUAUCCGGAUUUACUGGGUUUAAAGGGUGUGUAGGCGGACUUUUAAGUCAGCGGUGAAAUCUCCGGGCUCAACCCGGAAACUGCCAUUGAUACUAUUGGUCUUGAAUGUUGUGGAGGUGGGCGGAACGGGUCAUGUAGCGGUGAAAUGCUUAGAGAUGACCCGGAACACCGAUUGCGAAGGCAGCCCACUACGCAACUAUUGACGCUGAGGCACGAAAGCGUGGGAUCAAACAGG
rnacentral:rRNA from 1 species